UGUCUAAGUAUAAGCAAUUAUACAGCGAAACUGCGAAUGGCUCAUUAUAUAAGUUAUCGUUUAUUUGAUAGUACCUUACUACUUGGAUAACCGUGGUAAUUCUAGAGCUAAUACAUGCUAAAAAUCCCGACUUCGGAAGGGAUGUAUUUAUUAGAUUAAAAACCAAUGCCCUCUGGGCUCCUUGGUGAUUCAUGAUAACUCUUCGAAUCGCACGGCCUUGCGCCGGCGAUGGUUCAUUCAAAUUUCUUCCCUAUCAACUUUCGAUGUUUGGGUCUUGGCCAAACAUGGUCGCAACGGGUAACGGAGGGUUAGGGCUCGACCCCGGAGAAGGAGCCUGAGAAACGGCUACUACAUCCAAGGAAGGCAGCAGGCGCGCAAAUUACCCAAUCCCGAUUCGGGGAGGUAGUGACAAUAAAUACUGAUACAGGGCUCUUUUGGGUCUUGUAAUUGGAAUGAGUACAAUUUAAAUCCCUUAACGAGGAACAAUUGGAGGGCAAGUCUGGUGCCAGCAGCCGCGGUAAUUCCAGCUCCAAUAGCGUAUAUUAAAGUUGUUGUGGUUAAAAAGCUCGUAGUUGAACCUUGGGCCUGGCUGGCCGGUCCGCCUCACCGCGUGUACUGGUCCGGCCGGGCCUUUCCCUCUGUGGAACCCCAUGCCCUUCACUGGGUGUGGCGGGGAAACAGGACUUUUACUUUGAAAAAAUUAGAGUGCUCCAGGCAGGCCUAUGCUCGAAUACAUUAGCAUGUAAUAAUGAAAUAGGACGCGUGGUUCUAUUUUGUUGGUUUCUAGGACCGCCGUAAUGAUUAAUAGGGACAGUCGGGGGCAUCAGUAUUCAAUUGUCAGAGGUGAAAUUCUUGGAUUUAUUGAAGACUAACUACUGCGAAAGCAUUUGCCAAGGAUGUUUUCAUUAAUCAGGAACGAAAGUUAGGGGAUCGAAGACGAUCAGAUACCGUCGUAGUCUUAACCAUAAACUAUGCCGACUAGGGAUCGGACGAUGUUAUUUUUUGACGCGUUCGGCACCUUACGAGAAAUCAAAGUGCUUGGG
rnacentral:rRNA from 1 species